rnacentral:rRNA from 2 species
UAGGGAAUAUUGCGCAAUGGACGGAAGUCUGACGCAGCGACGCCGCGUGAGCGAUGAAGGUCUUCGGAUCGUAAAGCUCUGUCCUUGGGGAAGAAGGCGAAAGCUUGACGGUACCCAAGAAGAAAGCCCCGGCUAACUACGUGCCAGCAGCCGCGGUAAUACGUAGGGGGCGAGCGUUGUCCGGAAUUACUGGGCGUAAAGGGUGCGUAGGCGGCCCUUUAAGUCGGAUGUGAAAGCCCGCGGCUUAACCGCGGAAUGGCAUUCGAAACUGGAGGGCUUGAGUGUCGGAGAGGGUAGUGGAAUUCCCAGUGUAGCGGUGAAAUGCGUAGAUAUUGGGAGGAACACCAGUGGCGAAGGCGACUACCUGGACGAUAACUGACGCUGAGGCACGAAAGCUAGGGGAGCAAACAGG